GACAAGGUAUUUUAUUCUCUGGUGCCCUAUCCAACAUAAAAUUGCUUUCUAAAACUCAAGAAGAUCAAGGGAAAGUGGAGAAGCCUGAGAGGACAAGGAGAGGAUGAAUGUCCUCUGAGAGCACUGCUACACUUGCGGAAAUGUUCCAAUGAGGGGCUGGACGGAUGGAUGGUCAGGUACAGUGCCGGCUUUUGGGAGUACCUACUGAGUCCCAGUCUCCAGCAUCCACAAAAGCCGGCUAGGUUUGCGUCUACAACCCCAGCCCAGAUGGAUUGAGAACCACUGAUGCAGCAGCACCAAGUUCAGUCUCCAACAUCCACAUCGUGGCUCACGAUCAUCUGUAAGUUUAGUUCUGACCUCUGGGGGCACCAGGCACACACGUGGUACACAGGUUCACCAGGCAACAAAACCUGCACUCAGAUGCCUAUCAAGCAAGGCGUUCAAGGCCCAGGUGAACAAAGCUCCUCAAAAGUGCUUUCCCAGCAUUUUCAUUUGAGGCUAUGUGUGUAGCUGACUCAAUGGAAAAAAUGUUUCUUGAGGGUUCAAUUCCCAGCAUCCAAAGAAAAGAACACAGCCUAGUCCCAUCACCUUGGCAUGAUUUAACAAUGACUCUGGGAAAAUGAAAAAGGCAAGAUACCAUAAUUUGCCAUUAAAAAAAAAAAAAAAAAAGGAAAAGAAGACGAAGAAAGAUGCAGUCAUUGCCAAAUGUGGUGGUGCAUGCCUUUAGGAAGAAAGCAAAGGUAAGCAGAUCAGCCUACAUGGCAAGUUCCAGGCCAGCCCUAACUACGUAGUAAGAGCCCAUCUCAAAACAAACAAAAGGACAGGAAAAAAAUGAUGGUAGUCUUAGAAGAUUACAGUAAAGCCUGUUUUUGCCCAGUAGCGCAAUAGCCAAAGCAACUAGGUGGUGAAACAGCAAAGUGUGUGAGGUGAUGCUAAGACGGCGGCUGCUGGGUGCAGAAAGGCUCAGCACCUCGGUGCUGCAGUGCCCCAUACCCAGCGAUAAUCAACAACGAUGCGACCCGCCUUUACUAAGCUUUCAGCAUUAUUCUACGGUGAACUCAUUCUGCCUGCAAGAAAAAGCACUGUAAACCACUCUGCUAGAGCAGGUGGUGGUGGCACAUGCCUUUAAAUCCAGCACUUGGGAGACAGAGGCAGGAGGAUCUAUGUGAGUUCCAGGCCAGCCUGUUCUACAUCCUGAGUUCCAGGAUAGCCAGGACUACACGAAAAAAACUCGGUCUCAAAAAACCAAAACAAAAAACCCUAAACAGUCUGCUAAGUUCUCUCAAUAGCAGCCUCACACAUCUUGAAUGGCUACCCUAGCUCUGGAUAUCAGCUCUUGGGUCUGAAUUGAUGGGGUGCUCUGUUCGUCCGGCCCUGGGAGCAACUGGCUGGCUAUUUUGUGUUUACCACAUAGCCUCGGUGUGCAGUGGGCUCUAGCACCAAAGUCUGGAUAGGUACCCACCGAUGCCCACAUAAGAAGGAAAUCCUCCAAUACCAAUUUCUUACAAUAGGUCCCUGUCAUUUCAAGACCCACAGCCACAGAGAAGCGGAGCACAUGCUGCCGUCUGGCUGGUUUGGGGAAUACACCAGCUUUCAUCUGGUGGGCGGAUGUGUUGUCACUCAACACAACAUUGCCUUCUUCUGAACUCACCCAAAGAUGUGCAGCCAAGGGGCAGUAAAGAAAAACUCACGAUCUUUGAAGUUUAUGUUUUUGUGUUAAGAGACUAGACACACCUUGCAAUGGACCACAGAGAGCACUCCCUUCCUUUACAAAGACCUGCUAGAUUUGGUUUAGUCCCUAAACAAGAGUCAGUUAGUCAAAAAGUGGCAGCAUUUGGGUACUCGAAAAGAAACGGGCUUUACGCAUAACGGAAAGGCUGCCCUACA